UGAGGAAUAUUGGUCAAUGGGCGAGAGCCUGAACCAGCCAAGUAGCGUGCAGGAUGACGGCCCUAUGGGUUGUAAACUGCUUUUAUGUGGGGAUAAAGUGCGUGACGUGUCAUGCAUUGCAGGUACCACAUGAAUAAGGACCGGCUAAUUCCGUGCCAGCAGCCGCGGUAAUACGGAAGGUCCGGGCGUUAUCCGGAUUUAUUGGGUUUAAAGGGAGCGUAGGCUGUCUAUUAAGCGUGUUGUGAAAUUUACCGGCUCAACCGGUGGCUUGCAGCGCGAACUGGUCGACUUGAGUAUGCAGGAAGUAGGCGGAAUUCAUGGUGUAGCGAUGAAAUGCUUAGAUAUCAUGAAGAACUCCGAUUGCGAAGGCAGCUUACGGGAGCGCAACUGACGCUGAAGCUCGAAGGUGCGGGUAUCGAACAGG
rnacentral:rRNA from 1 species